AAACGCCCGCAUACGCGACCAAUCCGAUGAGGGAGUGUGAUGGCAUUGAAUGUACACUAGAUUACGGUAAAUUGCCAUUUAGGCCGCCCGUUAUAACUUGCUUGUGGGCGUGCUGGCAGCAAAUUCGAUCGUGCGUCAAGAAUUCAGCAUAGCAAGUUUGUAUGAAGGUCUGAUUAUUAAAUUGAUACAUAAGUUCAAUAGUAAUAUCCUCUAAAACGCUCUGGUUGAGAAACUUUGCUGCCCUGUUUCCAAUUGUCCACAUGUCUGGAAAAAUCUAUCCAAGUACCAGCCCUUACCUCCAUCAUCAACCCCACUGACAUAAAAAAUUUGACGGGAUCUAGGGAUUCUGCCGAACACCCAGACAUGGAUCCACCUGAUGUCCUGCAUUACCAACCACUCUCCAACUUUUCAUUACAUCAGCUACUGUUAUUGUCAUGUUGUCCAUAUCUGCUAAGACAAGCCCGUGUAUGAAUCAAAUGUUUUGGCAUAUGAAUGAAGUGGAAAUUAGAUGACUUUGUGAUCUGUAAGGUAAGUAACAUUAAUGUAGCCUAGUGGUUAGAGCGUUUGGCCAGUAACCGAAAGGUUCCUAUAUUGAAUCCCCGAGCUGACAAGGUAUAAAUCUGUUGUUCAUCCCCUGAACAAGGCAGAUAACCCACUGUUCCUAGGCCGUCAUUGUAAAUA